rnacentral:ncRNA from 1 species
GGGUGCGGCGGAUUCCCGCUGCAGGAACUCGGGAUGGUCGGGCCGCCAUCC